UUUUUUUUUUUUUUUUUUGGCCUUUUUAGGGCCACACCCGAGGCAUAUGGAAGUUCCCAGGCUACGGAGGUGCAGGUGCCAGCCUAUGCCACAGCAACGCCAGAUCCAAGCCGUGUCUGCGACCUACACCACAGCUCACCACAACAAUGGAUCCUUUAACACACUAAGCAAGGCAAGGCCAGGAAUCGAACCUGCAUCCUCAUGGAUAUGAGUCAGAUUUCUUUCCACUGAGCCACGAUGGGAAGCCCCAUUCUUUAUCACUGCUACACAGUUUUCUACUGUAAGGUUAUUUUACAUCACUAAUCCCCUACACAUGGAUAUUUAUUUAUUUUUAUUUACUUACUUUUAUGGCCACACCUGCAGUCUAUGGAAGUUCCUGGGCCAGAGAUUGAAUCCAAGCCACAGCUGUGACCUCCACCACAGCUGCAGCAACGCCAGAUCCUUUAACUCACUGCACCAGGCCGGGCAUUGAACUUGUGCCUCUGCAGUGAUCCAAGCUGCUACUGAUGGUUUCUUAACCCACUGUGCCCAGCAGAAAUGCUCACAUGACUUUUAGAUGGCUUACAACCUUUCACUAUUUCAAACAAUGCUACAAAUUACAUCUUUGUACAAACAAUACAUGAAAGCAUAAACAAAAUAAUGGUCUAUACGUGCAACGGAAUAUCAUUCGACCUUAAAUAGCAAGGAAAUUCUGACAUACUCAACAAUGUGAAUGGGUGAAAUUUGAGGACAUUAUGCUAAGUGAAACAAGCCUGUCACAAAAGGGCAAAUACUGUAUAAUUCCACUCAUAUGAAGAAUCUGGAGUAGUCAAACUUGUAGAAACAAAGUAGAAUGGUAGCUGCCAGGGUUUAGGGGGAGGGGGAAAUGAAGAGUUAGCAUUUAAUGGGUACUAAGUUUCAGUUUCCACAAGAAAAAAACAUUCUGGAGAUGGAUGGUGGUGAUGGUUAUAGAAAAAUGUGAAUGUACUUAAUGUCACUGAACUCUACACUAAAAAAUAGUUAAGAUGGUAAAUUUUGUGUUACAUGUAUUUUACCACAAUUUUUAGAAAUCCAUUUUCUUUAUACUUAUUUAUUCAUUUAUUCAUUCCCACGUUUGUCCAAACAUUCCAUAAACUUAUACAUGCCAGAAUUACACAGUUACAUAAAGACUUAUCCUUAUGCUAAAAAAGAUGAAAAGGAAUUAGGCAAAGAAGUGACAUAAGGACACUCCAGGCAGAAAGUUCAGGAUGUCAAAAAUCAAAAAACCGCACUGGAGAGAAGAGGAUGGAGAGGUAAGCAGGGGCCAGAAACAAAAAACUCAGGCACCUUGCUAAAGAAGGAGUUUUAUUCCAUGAGAAUAAAUAUUGUGGAAUAUUUAUACUGCACAUCACCUAACCUGUGUGUCAGGAGGGCUCUGGCUUCUAUGAGGAGGCUGGACCAGGAAGAGACAGGUGCACAUACCCAGCAAGAAAUGACAGCAGGAGUUCCAGUCGUGGCGCAGUGGUUAACGAAUCCGACUAGGAACCAUGAGGUUGCGAGUUCGGUCCCUGGCCUUGCUCAGUGGGUUAAGAAUCCGGCGUUGCUGCGAGCUGUGGUGUAGGUUGCAGAUGCGGCUCGGAUCCCGCGUUGCUGUGGCUCUGGCGUAGGCUGGCAGCUACAGCUCCGAUUCGACCCCUAGCCUGGGAACCUCCAUAUGCCGCAGGAGCAGCCCAAGAAAAAGCAAAAAAAAAAAAAAAUGACAGCAGCCUCCACCAAGGGUGUCAGAUGCACACAACGACGCAGGCCAGGCACAGACAUUUCCAAAAAGGCCAUGUGAGCCAACACUGUAAGACCACAGGACCUAAAGCGGCCAGCAGCCUAAGACCUCUCACCUGGCCACCGAAGAUGUUGAUUAAUGAAAUCCUCCAGCGUGUCAGGGGAGCCAGGCCCAGGGUCACUGACCUCUGCCAGACUAGCUGGAAAGAGACAGGAGCCAUAGAGACUGAAGCUGAAAAGGAAUUCCCUCUGUACUGCUUUCCUCCUAAGUGGGGAGAGUAACAGUGAAGUUUGGGGAAUCUUGACUUGUCCAGAAAAAGACAGAAAGCAGGGAACAGACUGCAGUAAAUUAGGGUAUAUUUCACUGCUUUGGUAGUUUUCCAAGUGUGGUCUCUGGACUAGUCACAUCAACUUCACCUGAGAGCUGGUUAGAAAUGCAAAUUCUCGGAGUUCCCUUGGGGCACAGAAGGUUAAAGAUCCAUCAUAGUCACUGUAGUGGCUUGGAUCGCUGCAGAGGCUGGGGUCACUGCUGUAGCACAGGUUUGAUUCCUGGCCCAGGAAUUUUCAUAUGCCAUGGUGCAGCUGGAAAAAAAUAAAAUAAAGAAAAGAAAAAGAAAAAAAAAAAAAAAGAGGCAAAUUCUCAGGCCCUCCUGAAACAGAAGCUGCGGGGGCAGGACCCUAGUGAUUUACACUUUAACAAGCAUAGGUGAUUCGGAAGCAAGUUCAAGUUUAAAACCAUCUCCCUAUAACAUAAUUCACCACAGAUGUCAUUUAAACAACAUAUUUCUUACUCCUCCACACAACUUGAUGGUAAAAAUGAACACUCUGGGACUUUCGUGGUGGCUCAGCAGGUUAAAUAUCUGGCAUUGUCACUGCUGUGAUGUGGUUCAAUCCCUGGCCUGGGAACUUUUGCAUGCCGUGGGUGCCACACCAAAAAAAUUAAUUAAUUUUAAAAAGUUAAUACUUUGGCUCUUUUAAUUUAUUCAAUAGAAAAUUAUCAAAUUAUCAGAUUUACCCCUCCCCAUUUAUUUGCAUAAACUUGUCAGGAACAUAAAGCAAAGAACAACUGUUUCAUACAUUGUAUGAAUAAAACUUUGUUUCCAAAAAACACUGGAAGUGGCUGGUGAUGAAUGUAAUUACUGUUUACCAGAGAUCUCAAAUGUGCUAUAUGAAGACUGUUAAAAAAUUUACUCAAGUUCUCUUGUGGCUCAGCAGUUUAAGGAUCUGGCAUUGUCACUGCAGUAGCAGGUUGCUGCUGUGAUGUGGGUUCAAUUCUUGGCCCUGGAACUUCUGCAUGCCUUAGGUGUAGCCAAAAAAAAAAAGGAAUUACUUCAUAAAUGACCUAAAACCUUGCAGAGAUUUGAAGACCAGCACUUCCUGGGCCAGAAAAUCAAAAAGCCUAGGAAAAAUAUGCUGAGAUCUGUGAGCCAUCCAGCAAUACUGCAUAUAGAAUUGUCCUGGGGCCUUCAAAUGAGAGCAUUCACCGGUCUUCGGUUGCGGCAUAACCAGUGAGCACUCGUCUGGGAAUUCUCAUGUGUUGAUGAAAUUCCAAGAGCCCCAUAGUACCUUUUCUAGCUACAAAAUAUAUUUUCUUCCAUUAAAGCGAGUUUUGUUCAGGCCCUCUGCAACCACUACAAUGAUUCUAGUUUUCUUAUGGGUACAUUCCAUGUAACAAAUGGCAGAAAACACAGAAGUAGUGGGGCUAGGCUCUCUAACCUGGUGCUGAAUUACAAGUCUCCCCCUUAGCUCGUGACUCUGGGGAAGGCAGCUUACAUGCCCUUUGCUCAGACAUCAAGUAGGCAAUGUUGAGAAGUGCCUGCUAUAAUACCGCACCAAGAAUCUAUUAUUCAUGUAUUGAUUCCCUUCUGGGCCAGGAGUACAACAGAUGUCUAUAAAGGGCAAUCGACUGAGAAUGGGCCCAGCGGUAUCAUAACAUCAGUCUCCACUAGGUGGCAAUAACGGUGCUAGGUAAUUGGUUAUUAACGUUGAUCUUCAGAACUCAGCACUGUUUCUUACUAGUGAUUUAUUCAUUCAUUCAACAAAUAUUUAUUCGAUGGCUGCUAUGGGCCUGCCACCAUAGUUAAGAUACAAAGACCAGUGAAGAAAGACAGAGUCCCUAUCUAUGGACCUUAGGUCUAGGUGAGGAAAUGGACAGAGAAUCACAGCAAUAAAAUAGCACACCAUAGUAAGUGCUGUGAGUGCACAAGGGGAGAACUGCCCAUUGGGGGGGUGGGGGGGAAAGCAUCCCUGAUAAAGGGAUGACGAAGAGAUGGAGGUGUCCCAGGAAGGUGAGGGGUGGGAAGUCAAUGCUCAGGCAGAAGGGAGGGCCUGUCAGUGGCUCCUGGAAAGUGGGACGACUGCAAGGCCACAUGGCUGGAGCCCAAAGAGCAGGGGAGCAGGAUGGGAGCUGCCCACCCUGGAGGGAGGAGCAAAAGGCAGGCAGCCUUGUAAGCCUAGUUCUUGGUGGGGCUUUGGAUCUAGAUCCACAGAGCAGCAGGAGCCCACUGAUGGGUUUUUAAACCCAGGAGGGGAGAGGGCUGGGUAACUAGAUUGGAUUUGCAUUUAACAAGGUCAGAUUUGCAUUUUAACAGGGUGACUGAGGUCUUCUCUGCUGGGGGUUCAGCUGAAGUGGGGGGACUGAAGGGGGGCAGGUCCUCCCAGGUGCAGGAGACCAGUUAAAGAACUACCACUGGAGUCUAAGAGGAAGGAUUUGUCUUGGGUCAGGAUAGGGACCUGGAGACGGAAACGACUGAGAGAUGGGGAAAGUACCAGAACUCAGUGGCUAGGGGGUGCGCAGGAAAGGGAGGUGCCAGAGAUGGCUCCCCAGUGUCUGGCUCGGACAAGCCGACAGAUAGAAAGAAAAUCGAAGGGGGCAAGGGCUCUCAAAUAGUGGCUGGGUAGCAGAGAAAGAAAGUCAUGAGCACUUUUAUUUAUCAUUUAUUUAUUUUUGUCUUUUAGGGCCACGCCCAUGCUAGGGGUUCAAUCGGAGCUACGGCUACUGGCCUACACCACAGCCACAACCACGCCAGAUCCUAACCCACUGAUCGAGGCCAGGGAUCGAAACUGCAGCCUCAUGGAUACUAGUCAGUUUCAUUUCCUCUGAGCCACGUGGGAACUCCACAAGUUCACUUUUAGACAUGCUGACUUUGAGAGUUGUUUUUUUUUUUUUUUGGUUUUUGUUUUUUGUGUUUUUUGUUUGUUUUUGUCCUUUUGCCUUUUCUAGGGCCGCUCCCUCGGCAUAUGGAGGUUCCCAGGCUAGGGGUCCAAUCGGAGCUGUAGCCACCGGCCUAUGCCAGAGCCACAGCAAGGCGGGAUCGAGGCCACGUCUGCAACCUACACCACAGCUCACGGCAACACCGGAUCCUUAACCC
rnacentral:lncRNA from 1 species